rnacentral:rRNA from 1 species
AUUGAACGCUGGCGGCAGGCCUAACACAUGCAAGUCGAGCGAGCGGCGGACGGGUGAGUAAUGUGUGGGAAACUGCCUGAUGGAGGGGGAUAACAACUGGAAACGGUAGAUAAUAUCGCAUAUCAUCAGAUGUGCCCAGAUGGGAUUAGCUAGUAGGGGGGGUAAUGGCUCACCUAGGCGACGAUCCCUAGCUGGUCUGAGAGGAUGACCAGCCACACUGGAACUGAGACACGGUCCAGACUCCUACGGGAGGCAGCAGUGGGGAAUAUUGCACAAUGGGCGCAAGCCUGAUGCAGCCAUGCCGCGUGUAUGAAGAAGGCCUUCGGGUUGUAAAGUACUUUCAGCGAGGAGGCGUUACUCGCAGAAGAAGCACCGGCUAACUCCGUGCCAGCAGCCGCGGUAAUAC